rnacentral:tRNA from 1 species
GGGCCUAUAGCUCAGUUUUGGUCAGAGCGCACGCCUGAUAAGCGUGAGGUCGAUGGUUCAAUUCCAUCUAGGCCCACCA